GACCCUGAGCUUGGGGUAACAGCUCUACUGUCACCAUCUUGAAGUUCUUGAUAAUUUUUUUAGCAAGAGGUCCCACAUUUUCAUCUCAUACUGGGUCCCACAAAUUAUGCUGUUUGGCCCCCUUGGCAAAUAUCCUGGGUAGUCAUGCUCCCUUGAAGAAUGCUCACAUAUUUUGUUUUUCAAACUGGAUUCUAAAGUUUUUGCAGGUUUCUGUCAUUUUUUUCCAAACCCUCUGCCGUGAUUAGGGCAGUUUCCUGAAUAGAGUAAAUGUGCAAUAGCCACAUUGAUUACCUCUACCACUGUAAUCCCUGCAAUCCUUCUCAUUGUUCAGUUGUUCUGUUGCUAAGGAUACAGAACCCUACAAUUACCAGAUUUGGAAUCACAUAUUUUUCAUAAGGUAGCACGUGUAGUGAAAAGGCCUGAGAGUCCUUAAGUCCUAAAUCCUGACACAAGGGAUGAAGGGGUCGCGGAGUUGCCAGAUUCUCGUGACCAAUGAACCUAUGGAAAUCUGCUUUGAACUCCCGUCUACUAUUCAUUCAGGAGGGUAUGUUCAAAAAUUAUAAAUGUAACUAUUUCUAAAAAUGUGAUUUUCAUGUUUUCCUUCCUGCUUCUUGUACUUCAGCAUCACACCUUCCAGAGCCCCUUGGUUUAAAGAUUGCUGUGCCCUUUUCUUUCUACUUCACACACCCGUUAAUCUUUUGUUUGUUUUGUUAGUGUUGUAUUUUUUGUUUCCUCCAUGGUGUUUUUAAGCACUCCCAAGACUCACAAACCCAGACCCCUUUGUGGAAAAGCCUGUGGUGCUAUCCCUUUCCUCCCACAGGAUUCCCUGGUGGCCGUGGAUUCCGGGGGAGCACCCUGAACCAUGGGGGAGAGGAAUACAGAAGCACACAUAUUGACUCCCUAGUCUUUGAAAUUCAACCCAGAGGCUAAGAGAGUCUGCAGAACUCAGUACCAAGCAACAGCAGGUGCCAACCUGUGGCCAUCAUAUCAUCGUGGGUGUGCAAUCAGAAAGAAGUGAAUGAGUAAAGGGUUUCUUGAUGAA